ACGGCGUCGUUUAGGGGCCUCUUGAUGCUGUAAGUGCUGCUUAUGACUGCGGCUAAACCGGCGCAGAGGAGGAUGCAGGUCGUAGCCAUCAGUGUAGCUCCCAUUACUACGUUACGGAGUGUUUGUACCGUCAAUAUGUUCAUCUUCUGAUUCUCCUGCCAAAAUUAUACAACAAUAAAUACAGCUUUUAAUUAAUUACAUUUUUUAUGCUUAGGUUUUAUGGCAGAAAUCACAACUAGUUUUCAUACCAAGUGGUCUCUUUCUCAUACCAAGCUCUAAUUCCUAAGAUGAUAAUCACGAGAUUGCCAUAAUAUAUGAAUUGAUCUUUGGGUAAGACAACCAUGGAGAUUGUUUGUGUUUCUAUAUUUUUUUUCUUACUUUUUUUUUGCAGUCGACCAAGUUUAGUGAUCCUUCAUAUUAUCAAUUACAUUUUGUAAAUUUUAAAUUUUAAUUUCUUAAGAUGAUAUUUACAUUCUUAAGAAAAAACACACUAUAUAUGGAAAUGGAUGUAAGAACCUUGAUCAUAGAGGAAAUCCAG
rnacentral:lncRNA from 1 species